AUUGAACGCUGGCGGCAGGCCUAACACAUGCAAGUCGAACGAGUGGCGGACGGGUGAGUAAUGUCUGGGAAACUGCCUGAUGGAGGGGGAUAACUACUGGAAAAGGUAGCUAAUACCGCAUACCAUCGGAUGUGCCCAGAUGGGAUUAGCUAGUAGGGGGGGGAAAGGCUCACCUAGGCGACGAUCCCUAGCUGGUCUGAGAUGAUGACCAGCCACACUGGAACUGCGCCACGGCCCAGACUCCGAGGGGAGGCAGCAGUGGGGAAUAUUGCACAAUGGGCGCAAGCCUGAUGAAGCCAUGCCGCGUGUAUGAAGAAGGCCUUCGGGGUGUAAAGUACUUUCAGCGGGGAGGCGUUACCCGCAGAAGAAGCACCGGCUAACUCCGUGCCAGCAGCCGCGGUAAUUC
rnacentral:rRNA from 1 species